rnacentral:sRNA from 1 species
GUCUAGUCCGCCCUGUCACUAUCGGGAAGUACCUGACAAAGUCUAUCCCGAAACCAAUACGCUAGCCACGUAAUAGGGCCUGGUUUAAAAGCUGAGACUCUACCCAAUCUUUAGACAUUUAACCCAAACGUCUAGAUAAGAUAUUAUUUUAAAUUCAUUUUCUAUCUUUAUUUCACGAAUUUAUAAGGCAUUAAGGAACAAAAUGGCUUCAGAACAAAAAGGUGUUAUUGACUUGAAUGAGAUUGUAAACUCCUACUUCAGUGAAGUUAAAUCCAAACAGAUUGCUGGUAAGCCGAACCUAGAAAAGUUGAAGAUGACAGUGGUAGACAAGAAAUGGACAGGAGAAA